UCUCUCAUGCGCGGCUGCAGCCACCGCUGCAGCCUCUCUCUCUUCAUCUGUUCCUCAGAUCCGCGCCGCUCUCCUCAAGCAUGGUGCUCUCUCCAUCCCUCAGAUCCGGCGGGGCAGCGGCCGUAGCAGCACAGCGAGCGGCGGGCGCCGAGUUACAAGCCGGAGUGCGAGCGUGCCGAUGCCUGGGCGUCGGGGCACAAGAGGGCUAGCUCUGCCUUGUGCCGGUCACCACGGCUCACUGCGGCAGCAGGGGAAGAGGCAGCGUCGGGGAGCAGGAGAUGCUCGUCUCUGCAGGUAGGAGAUGCUAGCCACUCAAGAUCUGGUUGGGGAGCAGGUCUCGAGAUCUGACUUGUUGUUACAGCAGCAGUAACUCGAUCUAUUUAGUCUUUUGUUCUCUGUGCAUGUUAGUCUUUUGUUCUCUGUGCCUGUGAUUUGGUUCCGUCAGUGAUUCUGUUUCGUUGGAUCUCCGUGCUUUGAUUUUGGGUCUGUAGCUCCAAGAAAAUUCAUUAUGUGUCCCCGCAGCUACCUGUUUCUACCUUGUCUUAUCCUCAAGUGGCACCAUAGCUUACUGUGAUCUAAUUUCUUCUUGUGUGCCUGCCUCUGCAGCUGGUGUUUUGUGCUUUUAUGCUCAGCUCGGCCUUCUUUCUUGUUCGCUGCCUCAGCUCUCGGUUCUCUGCUGUUUUAUUUGCGAUUCUUUAGUCGGCAAUUCAGAGCAGCAGCGUUGUUUUCCUUUGCUUAUUGAUUUGCUGCUGCUAGAGCCUGGCUGGUCUGUUUUGAUUGCCACAGGCCAACAACAGUACAUGAUCCAAUCUUGCCCUGACCUUUCAAUGGAUUAGUAUUUUGGCUUUUUCUCUGUUCGUUUUUCUCUCUCUGUCCGACAGUAGCAAGCUGUAAGCAGCAGCUGCAGCAAGGUAAACAACUUAUUUUCAGCUCUACUUACUUGUCUUUCUUCUUUUUGGUCGAUGGCAGCAGUAGCAAACAAAUAAAGUGCAGCUCAAUAUUGGUUGUUUUAUUAUACUGAGCAACAAUGAAGGCUAUCAUUGCAAGGCACCAUAGUCUAAUCCCCUGACUUGUUAGCUAACUGGUGCUGCUUCUUACUUGAUUAGCGCUAUCUGGUGCAAGUCCAGGAAACAAAACAAACAAGGAUCAAAGAUCAAGAGGAGAAUCGGAAGAAGCAAGAUGAGUUGGAGAAGAAAGUUGAGCUGCUGCUACGUGGUCUGUUAGCUUUUGGGGGAACUAUCUUUUGCAGGAACCAAACUUUGCUGCUACAAAAUUUUGUUGGUUUGUUAGGUUGAACUUCAACCAAACUUUGCUGCUGCUGGUUCAUAUUCUUGAUGAAACCUAUCUUUUGUUGUUUUUGAUCAAUUAUGUUGUCUUGGAAGUUGCUUUGCUUGAUUUUUUAGCAGCUCAGUUCGCUUUCAACUAGCUGUCAGUGCCUGCAACUUCUUCUCUUCUUCUCUUGGAUACAGGUAAUUGUUUUGGCGUGGUGCAGAAGCCCAGGAAACAACCCAGACUCUACUUUUAGGAUGAAAUGGUAGAAGGAACAAACAGUGAGAAGAGAUUGGAAAUUUGAAGGCAAAUGCUGGAAUAUUUGAUGUUUUUGUUUCUAGUGUUGCUUUUGAUGCAAGAUGAAUGUAACUUGCAUGUAAAUUUUGAGGUGCUUCUCAAUGUAAAUCAUAUGAUAUUGUAUUUGAUUUGAUGCUGUGGUAAAUGGUCUUACAAUUUUGGUAUAUAUAUUCUGGGCUGUAAUGACUAUUCUAAUAAAAGGAUUGAAAUUAGGCCCAAUUUGGUGGCCCACUCUGAAUUGGGCCCAUCCA